rnacentral:sRNA from 1 species
UAAUUAUUGAAUGAAGGGAAGAUGGGUGGACAAUGGAUAAAUAAUCUUAUUUUUUACGUUUUUGAAAUAGAAAAAAUUAUUUCAAACAAAAAAUAGGAUUAGUCUGCCCAUUUUCUAUAUUUACUAAGUUAUCUUUUACGAAAGAUAGCUUUAUUUAUCAUGAAACCAAAGGCUAAUCCUUCCGAAAAAUCGGGAGGAUUUUUUU